UUAACUAAAAUUUUAGAGGACAAUGUUGUAGAUGGUUCCAUGGUAUUAGUUGUGAAAGUACUAACAGUAGUAUUAAACAUUACAGUGGAUGUUAAAAUAGACGUCAAAGCACUAAUGGUAGUGUUUACCUUCGGUGUAAUGUUUUCUAUCGAGGGAAUAGUAGUGGAAGACAUAGCAUUUACCAAAGUACUUAUUGUUGCAUUAUCCAUAUGCGAUGCUAAUGUAGAGUAUACCGUCUUAGUACAGACAUCUUUAGUUUGUACUGCUAAUCCAAAGCAUGCGUCCAUCAUAUAUGCCAAUAAUGAGCCAACAGUCAGACCCAUGGUAUACGAUAAAGUCAUGAUGUUUCCUGAUAAAUUAAUAGUUUCGUAUAUUUGCUGAAAUAAAUUUCAAUUACUCGUGGAAAUACCUGCUAAUUCACGGUGUCCUUCUGGAACUUUAGUAGGUGCUUGCAUCAUUGGUACUGACCCCACAAUACCGUUUGUAACGCCAAGUAAACAGGAAAAUAGCAGUGGAUACUCUUCACCGCCAAGGAUUGGAGCACCUCGUGGAAGUGCACACAACAAGAAUAAAGGUAUCAGUAUAACCCGGCCACAUGAAAAAUACAGUAACUCGGUACGUUUCCAUUCGUAAGGUAUCAGUGCAAGAAUCUGAAAUAUCAAUUAAUGUAUGAAUCGUUUUUAAUUUAAACCGAAUUUUGUACAUCUUUUGUAAUAAAGAAUAAUCUGUAAUACUUUGCCCAAUACAUCGGAAGCAUUAAAUGCAGCCAUGAGGAUCACUGGCAUCCAUGACUCAAGUCUACAGGAAAUUAUUUCUGACAUAAUACCAGGAUACAGACAAAGUGUAACAAAAUACGCGAUACCAAUGCUAGCCAUGUAUGGAAAUAUGAUCUUAGCCACCUCAAGUCUUGCGAGUAGACCUCCUAAAAGCAUUGCCAUGGUUUACUAGUUUGACUUCCAUAAGUUCCUCUCAUAACAACAACAUCUUCAACCUUAUAAGUAGGACCCGCACUACCAGGAGGAUUUGUUGGUGCACUGGGUUCGUAAACAGGAUUACUGAAUGAAAACGCUGAAUAUUGAUUCAUUCCUAAAAAUUAAGAUAAACAGAAUCGGUUCCUAAAGGGCUAGUCUGAAUUUUCAGAACACCAUAUUGACCCUUCGCAGAAUCUCCAACUUGAUCCAGAGGAUCCAUCUAUCAUAAAAUAAUACUUAACAAAGAUCGUCCACUGUUUUUAUUUCAACAAUAGGCACGGUACAUACCAGUCCCACAUCUUCAGUCGGUUCCAACGUUAUUCGGUUUCUUUCCUGACAUAGCGUUAUAUAAAAUUGCACAAAGUCAGUCUUACGAACCACUUGAUGUAAAACGAAACACAUCAGGAUUGUUGCAUUCAACAAGCAAAAGAACAUAGAGGUACUGCUACGUUCAUCAUCAAGCAGUAAUUUUGUAAAUAUGCGAUCAGUAGAUACCAGAAGACCAGCAAGACCUGUAUAAAAACAGGUAAUUCUUAUGAAAUAUUGUGUCCAUUUUUCAUGUGUCAAAAAAGACUGAUCUACUUACUUUCUCCAGUCAUUACUGCCUGAGUAUAUCGACUGGGAAGCAUAGAUGUAUAUCCAUAAAAACUCGAUUGUUGAACUGUAAUUUAUGAACAUUAACAACGCAACAUUAACAAAUAAACGAAUAAGUUACUCCAAAUAAUAAUUUUUACCUGUGCACCCAAGGGAUACAAUUGCAACAGCAACUAGAUUAAUUGUAUAGGAAGUAGCAACACCGAAUAAUUCCCACCAGAUCUCGCAUAUCAUAACAAAAUUCAAUGUAACAAAAGACACCAGGUAUCCUGAAAUAAUUAUCGACGUAUAACACAAAUCUAAUGAAACAUGCCACAAAUCGCAGAAUCUUACCAAACGUUAUUCUGGUGUUCAAAGACAGUGUUUCAACUAAAAUGUUAUUUGCAAACACCGCGAAGAAAGCCAUGAUAAUGUAGACAAGAGACAUAUCGAAAAUCACUGUGGUGCCAGGAUACUUUGUUUGGAAAUAAUCCACCGCUAUGAUGAAGCUGUAAAGAAAAUAAAUACACCUGUUCUAAAAUUUGAA